AAAUCUCAACCUCCUCGGUUUCUUCUGGACGCCGAAGGAGGCUUGGACUUUGGAGGCCUUUGCUGGCGUCUCUCGCCAGCUCCUCUCAAAUGAAUUAGCGGGGUCCUCUUUGCCGAUCCUCGACGUGUGAUAAGAUGUUUCCAUGUCUUGGUUUCUGGCUCUGUCGCUUUUGGGACCCGCUUCUAACCGUCUCAAGUCGAGACAACGUUUGAGCGUGUCUCCCUUCUCGGGAAACACCCUCGAGCCCACGAAC
rnacentral:misc_RNA from 1 species